ACAAAUAAGUUGAAUCGAAUGAAUGUGGUGUCUAUGGGAAAUAGUAAAGUUAAGGGAGUAUUCGAGGAGUGUGCUAAUCUUGAAAGUAAGAAGUCGCAUUGACUAAGGCCUGGUAAUUCUAUCCUGAUUUAUGAGUUAUAUGUCUAUAUUCCAGGCUGCAAAGUAAUGUCAAUGUUGGGAUCCUAUAGUCGGAUGUCUUGUGUGACUCAUGCCCAAGAUAUAUUGCUACCUAAUGCUAUUAGGACUUCUUUAGGAAGAGUGUUGAUAAGAUACUCCAGAUUGAGUAUAAGUUUCCAGUAUAGUUCAGUCUAUGUAGACAACAAAUCAGUUUGACAGACAGUCAGACAAAUACUGUGGUUUCCUACCUUUUCACCCAAUCUUACUAUCCCAAGUCUCAUACGUAUGACCACCCCGAGAGAUAAUUUAUUCCAUCCUUGUAAAUUUCGAAUUCAGUUCAGUCCAAGUAGUAUGUUUCAGAUUCAGCUAUUUAGUCAUGACUCAGUUCAUAAGAGUUAAGCGAAUAAUCUCAAAGUUUCUCCAAGUAUUUUAGCUCAGACAGUGUAAUACCUUCGUACGAUUCAAAUCUUGUUGCAUUAGGACUCUUACUUGCAUAAAUUAUCACUUCUCAAUUCAAUAUGUAUGACUGGAUCAUGAACACUUCAAGGAAAAUCCUAAAUUUUCAGCAUGAAUCAGCUCCAAGAAGCAAGUAAAGUCAAGUCAUCUCAGAAUUCAGUUUCAUGAUAGAAGUUUAAAUGUUUCAGAUCAGUUGUGUCCUUUCUUAGAGGACAUAUCAUGUCCGCGUUAUUUCCUUACCUUAAAGGCUUCAAUAAGUUUCUACCCAUCAUUCGGAGACGAAUGAUCCAAGGGGGAGAUAAUGUAACACCCUGCAUUUUUCGGGCUAGAAAUCUAAGCGUCAUUCCUAGGCGUAUAAACCCGAACUAGAUGAUUCCUUGUUAAUAUAUGUGUGGUGAUAAAUCCUACAUUUUGGGAAUAUCUUUGGAGACGAAUUGAGGUCACAAAAAUCCCCCAACUCAAAGACGAGUUGAAAACAAUUCCAUCGAUUUAGUUUUAGUGGACACUUCAACUUGGGUCAAUUUUCAUUGAGUAUAACUUCUCUUAUAUAGAGAAAUGAGUGACCUAAUAUAUAUCAAAUGAAAGGUCUUCGAAGUAGAUUUCCAACGAUACCAAUUUCGUCUAAAUCCGUCAAUCGAGCGAAAAGGAAUGGCCAUUUUUGUGAGAGGCAGUAGUGUGUUUUUCUGCAGUCAGCUCCACGUUUUCCAGGGGCAUUUGGGUCAAUUCCACCCCUAUUAAUUCAGGCAAAACACUGAAUUUUAACCCCAAAACAAAACUUUAGACCCACAAAUUCACACUCUCCAAAAUUCCUCCAAGAACUCUCUCAAGGGUUUCAAAAUAAAAAUCCGAAUAACUCAAGAUUCAACCGUGGGUUUUCAAAAUUGAUUAGAGAUUUGGAAUCUCCAAUCUGCAAGAUUCAAGAAUCAUCCAUUAUUUUUCAUAAUUGAGGAGGACUCUCGACGGAUUUCACCUAUGUGAGUGUAGAGGAAGGCCGCUUCCUAUGAGAAUUAGGCUCAUCUCAAAAGACACUCAUUAAAAUCAGGAUAGCACAGGGCCGUAAUGUGCUAGCUAUAAAGCCCAUGUCAACACCUUGACUAUUAUGUGUAAGCAGUAACUUUUUAUUUCCCCAAAGCAGUCAUAGUUUAAGUCUGAGACCACUAAGACUCUGGAAUAAAAAAUUACUGUUUUACUAAGUGGAGGUUCAAUGCAGAGCACACCCUCAUUAUGCAUGAUAGUAUUUCUUCAACUAUUGGACUCUCUUAUUAAUAUUAAAAAUGAGAGGGAAAUUGAUGGUGCAUUUUCAAAUAUUAUCUUUUUUCUAAAGCAUGCACUCCUUGUCUAAAGUGUUAUGGCAACUAUCUUUUUUCGAAAGCAUGCACUACUUCUUGUCUAAUGCUUUUGUUCCACCUAUUCUUGUCUAAUGCUUUUUUGUUUCCACCUUUUCUUGUCUAAUGCCAAUUGGUGGCAUAUUACUUCACCUUUGCAGUAUAAGUUUCUAUAUAUAAAGAAGGCUGCAAUGCAAUGCAAAAGUGUGAAAAAAGAAUAUUGUGUGUUAAAAAAUAAUUUCUUUUAUAAAAAGAGAGUUUAUUAAUUGAAGGGAGGUGUUAUUUUUGUGGAGCUUUGGACUCAACUCUUGUCCAUAGUUGUUGAGUUAUUGUGAGUAAGCUGUUGUAUCCUGGAAGAGACAAGUCAAGAGUAUUACUGCUGGACCGGUGAAACAUUUGUUGCAGUGGGCUUGAAUCUCCUUAAAGGGAGCGAGAUAUCCACGCCUAAACCGUAGAAGAAGAAAAUAAUAUUUUUCUUUAUUCAUUCGUAAUUUUCAGUUGUAAUCAGUUGUAAUAUUUAUUGCAAUUUCAGCAACAAUUGACAAACCUGCCAAGGGACCAGGUUCAUCGACCGUUGAAUUCUGGCAGUGCAAAGAGACCAGGUCCCUCGAUCGUUGAACGUUCUGGCCGCCAAAAGUACAGCUAGGAAACUGUAGUUUUUGCAGAAAAGUUGGUGCACAGCAGUAGAGGAUCAACAACUUGUCUUCUCUACUUUCAGUUCUCUACGUUUAUUCUUCAGUUUUUGUUCUUUAUCAUAGAACCUGGUGAGGGACUAGGUUCCCAUUACUGCAGUCAACUCACAUAGAACUUAUUCUGGUGUUAGCUGCUGAUAAGGGACCUGGUUCCUUGAUUCAUGGUGGACACAUACAAGUCAACAAUUGUUAUCAAAGCGGUACUUCCUAUACAGUUAACACCGAGGGAGGAUGCUGUUUUGAUGGCUGCUCCACCUCAUUUUAAGAAGCAGUAGGAUCAAUGGGAAAAAGAGCCUCAAAAGGAGAAAACUCUGGUUCUUAAAGCUGCUAGAGGAAAGUAUAUUAAA